GGCGGAGAGAGAAGAGAGGGAGUGAACAUCCCUGGGCUAUCCUGAGCUUUACAAAGUGUUCUGGGUGAGGGCAAAUUACAGAACCAAGUGGAAACGUCCCCGCAACCAUUGUAAGUCCUGGCUUUUUAAGGUUCAGGCCGAUCCGGCAGCUGCAAGAGGGGCUCCUGGGACUCCGAGCAGGCCCUAAUCCGCGCUUGGACCACACUUCCCAGCAGCCUUCACGCCGCGGACGGGUCCUUUGCUGGGGGAAGGGGGAUUCCUUCGAAGAGGUGGUCGUGGAGGGCGGGGCAGCAGAGCAGCCUUUGCCUGAUCAUGCAGACAUCUCCAACUGUGGGAACCCUUUCCAGCUUGUGUCUGAAGGUGCUUCCUGGAGGGGCCUGCCCCACUGUUCCUGUGCUGAGUUCCAGGACAGCCUCAACUUCAGCUACCAUCCCUCAGGCCUGAGCCUGCACCUCAGACCACCCAGUCGAGGAAGCUCCCCCAAGGAGCAGCCCCUCUCCCAAGUCCUAAGACCUGAGCCCCCAGAUCCAGAGAAGCUUCCUGUGCCCCCUGCCCCUCCAUCCAAGAGGCACUGCCGCUCACUCUCAGUGCCCGUGGACCUGUCUCGCUGGCAGCCGGUGUGGCGGCCCGCCCCCUCCAAGCUGUGGACUCCCAUAAAGCACCGGGGCAGUGGUGGAGGGGGUGGGCCGCAGGUGCCUCACCAGAGCCCCCCAAAGCGGGUCUCCAGCCUCAGGUUCCUCCAAGCUCCCAGUGCCUCUUCUCAAUGUGCCCCAGCUCACAGACCCUACAGCCCUCCUUUCUUCAGCCUGGCCCUGGCCCAAGAUUCCUCUCGACCCUGCGCCGCCUCCCCUCAAAGUGGCUCCUGGGAGAGUGAUGCUGAGUCCUUGUCACCUUGCCCACCUCAGCGCCGCUUCUCCCUGUCACCCAGUCUGGGCCCGCAGGCAAGCCGCUUCUUGCCCUCUGCCCGGAGCUCUCCCGCAUCCUCCCC
rnacentral:sRNA from 1 species